GCCGUAUCCCUUAAAACCUGAGUGCCAGAGGGUUACUGUAAAUGCAUGUGCCCGCUGGGCACAGUUUACCUGAUGCCACCGGGGUGGCGUUUGCGCUGAUGGCUUGAGCCCGCCAUCGCUGCUUGCAGCUAUAUUUAUUAUUAUUAUUAUUUUUUUCCAACGUCUCGGGGGCUUUUGGGGCCCUUAACAUACUCGAAAACUCUUGAAAAUUAGCACACACAUUGGAAUCUGCGGCCAUUAGGAGGCUGCAGAGGCUGAGACCCGGGCGUGGCACAGGGGCUCUACGGCGCCCCCUGGAACACAGUCAGAAAUGUUGAUGUAUAGUUCAAACAUACUUGCACGUAUUCAUAUGAAACUCAGUACACAUAUAGAUCUCAUUGUGCCGAACAACUUUCGUAUUGCAUGUCAUAGGCUCCGCCCAACAGGAAGUCAGCUAUUUAGAGCUAUGUAAAAAGUGCAUGCUCUGGAAUUUGAUAUACUUGUCAUAGGUUUUUUACCCGAUUGCCACCAAACUUGGUCAACAUGAUCUCAAGACAUUGGGGAUGCAAAAUUGCCAGGGGAUUUUUGAUAUCUCGAACGGUUUGCUCGUGGCGAGGCGUUGAAAUUAUGGCGAGAAAUGAGAAACAGGAAGUGUCUAAUAACAUCCACAUACAUUUCCAGAUUUUAAUUAAACUUCAUCAAUUUGUUCGUUGUAUGAUGCCGAUCGCAUAUAUGUGACUAUUAGGAGUCAAAAUUAUAGCGCCACCAACUGGCAGCAGGAAGUGUGUCAUUUUCAAAAUGCUUUGAAUUCAGCAUCUUAUUUUUACUCAAUUUGCUUCAAACUUCAUCAGAAUAAUGACAAA
ensembl:lncRNA